rnacentral:rRNA from 1 species
UGGGGGAUAUUGCGCAAUGGGGGAAACCCUGACGCAGCAACGCCGCGUGAAGGAUGAAGGUCUUCGGAUUGUAAACUUCUUUUAUUAAGGACGAAGAAUGACGGUACUUAAUGAAUAAGCUCCGGCUAACUACGUGCCAGCAGCCGCGGUAAUACGUAGGGAGCAAGCGUUGUCCGGAUUUACUGGGUGUAAAGGGCGUGUAGGCGGAGGAGCAAGUCAGAUGUGAAAUCCCGGGGCUUAACCCCGGAACUGCAUUUGAAACUGUUUCCCUUGAGUAUCGGAGAGGCAAGCGGAAUUCCUAGUGUAGCGGUGAAAUGCGUAGAUAUUAGGAGGAACACCAGUGGCGAAGGCGGCUUGCUGGACGACAACUGACGCUGAGGCGCGAAA